rnacentral:lncRNA from 1 species
GAGUGCUGCAGCCGCUGCCGCCGAUUCCGGAUCUCAUUGCCACGCGCCCCCGACGACCGCCCGACGUGCAUUCCCGAUUCCUUUUGGUUCCAAGUCCAAUAUGGCAACUCUAAAGGAUCAGCUGAUUUAUAAUCUUCUAAAGGAAGAACAGACCCCCCAGAAUAAGAUUACAGUUGUUGGGGUUGGUGCUGUUGGCAUGGCCUGUGCCAUCAGUAUCUUAAUGAAGGUAAGUGAGAGUCUACCACACUGGAAGCCCAUACCUUGACCCCAUCCUCUACCCCCACUCCUACCCCUAGAACUGUAUUAUUACAUUUCAUGUAACAGUAUUUAGAUUUAUGCACUCAUUCGGAUAACUUUCUGUGAAACAAACUUUUGAAAUAUGAUAAUACACCAAAAGUGUAUCUGAAAUUAAAAAGAAUCAAAGGUUGUCAGGCUGGAGACCCAGUUCCUAAAAUUCAUUAUUCUGUAUUAACAUGCAUGGAUUGACUACCAAUGAAAAGGAAGGGUCCAUGAUUUUAAAUGAGCCAAAAUUCUUUUAAAGUGAUUUUUGAAUUGAAAAUGACAAUUCAAAAAUUGUCAUUUAUUGGUAAAAUUAUAUGGGAAAUCAUAAGUUCUCCCACUCAAAUCUCAUUGCCCCUGUGCCUUGGAUAGCAAUU